rnacentral:antisense_RNA from 15 species
GGCGUCUGCAGUACUAAGGCGCUGCGCUGAGCGAUCUCACCACUGAUAUGAUAAGGCAGGCCACAGUUGGCAAAGGAGACAUAUUCGCCGCGCUCAAACAUAAUGAUUUCAGCAGUUUCGCUGAGUCUACGCGCCCUUGCCGCCGCCGAUGCGCCGCCCGCGACGCCAC